rnacentral:rRNA from 1 species
UGGGGAAUUUUGCACAAUGGGGGAAACCCUGAUGCAGCGACGCCGCGUGAUUUAGAAGGCCUUCGGGUUGUAAAAAUCUUUUCUAUGGGAAGAAAAUGACAGUACCAUAGGAAUAAGGACCGGCCAAUUACGUGACAGCAGCCGCGGUAAUACGUAAGGUCCGAGCGUUGUCCGGAAUCAUUGGGCGUAAAGGGUACGUAGGCGGGUAAGCAAGUUAGAAGUGAAAUCCUGUAGCUCAACUACAGUAAGCUUUUAAAACUGCUCAUCUUGAGAUAUGGAAGGGAAAGUGGAAUUCCUAGUGUAGCGGUGAAAUGCGCAGAUAUUAGGAGGAAUACCGGUGGCGAAGGCGACUUUCUGGCCAUAAUCUGACGCUGAGGUACGAAAGCGUGGGUAGCAAACAGG